rnacentral:rRNA from 1 species
GGCAGCAGUGGGGAAUAUUGCUCAUUGGGUGAAAGCCUGAUGCACCGCCUCCGCGUGAGGCAUCACGCCCUUCGGAUUGUAAACCUCCUUCGACAGGGACGAAGCGCAAGUGACGGUACCUGUAGAAGAAGCACCGGCCAACUACGUGCCAGCAGCCGCGGUAAUACGUAGGGUGCGAGCGUUGUCCGGAAUUACUGGGCGUAAAGAGCUUGUAGGCGGCUUGUCGCGUCGAUCGUGAAAACUUGGGGCUCAACCCCAAGCUUGCGGUCGAUACGGGCAGG